rnacentral:rRNA from 1 species
AUACAGAGGGUGCAAACGUUGUUCGGAAUUACUGGGCAUAAAGCGCACGUAGGCGGCCAGGUAAGUGUGAAGUGAAAUCCCACGGCUCAACCGUGGAAUUGCACGGCGAACUGCACAGCUUGAGGUCGGUAGAGGUGCCUGGAACUCUAGGUGGAGCGGUGAAAUUCGUAGAUAUUAGGAAGAACACCAGUGGCGAAGGCGGCUUACUGGCUCGAUACUGACGCUGAGGCGCGAAAGCGUGGGGAGCAAACAGGAUUAGAAACCCCUGUAGUCC